rnacentral:lncRNA from 1 species
GGCAUACCCAAGGUGGUACAAGUCGCCAAGUCUCAAGUGAGAACAAGGGACCAAGAAAACGUGAAUGCUAAUCCUAAGAAAGAUAGCAAAGUACAUACUUGGCACACCCUUUGCAUUUGGGCGGUGCCAUUACAAGAUACAUGAAGUACAUACUUAGCACAUCCUUUGCAUUUGGAUGGUGCCAUGAAAAGGUACAUGAAGUUAACAAUUUCCAAACACAAGUAACAAAAGUGCCGCAUGGGAUAUGGCCCGACGGCCGAGCGAGUGAGGAGCGCGCGCACUGUGUGGAUUUCGAUCAUGUACACUGCCGGGGUGGUUUCCAUAAAAUUUUCAGCCGAACAAAAGUAGCCCACGUGUACCAUAAGGCACAUUGAUGUACAAGCUGCCAAAUGCUUUGAAUUUAUUGAUUGUUGUCGGCCACAUCAGCCCACAAUUUCGAGUUUCCAAGGCAUGAUUGAAAUUAUUUUCCUGCUGCCACUCACGGCUGUCCACAUUACGGGUUUCAAAACAAUGAAAAUGAAUGCUAAGUGUGCUGGCACCCACAGCCGCCCACUUUUGAAAAAGUCAUGAAUUUCUUGUCUGCUAGUGUUAACAUUGCCGGCCCCUUUUUGACUAAUGAAGGUAAAAAAAAAUUCAAAGUAUGUCUGCUGGCCCACAGCCGUCCCUUUUUGAAUUUUCAAAUCAAUACAUUGAUUUCGUUGUCUGCUGCCGUUGGAGAGAGUUCCGACCACCCAUUGCCGGUGGGAAUUACGUCGGAAAGAAGGAAGGCCCAGGCUAGUAGGUAGAACAUGACUUCUCCGGUGAAAAUGCAAUCGGAACUUUCGAACAAACUGCCAGAAUUUUACCGUUUUUUCAAUCUUCUGCAAAUCCUUGUGGAUAAUCGGCAAAGAGCAGUUAAACUCAACAAUAACGAUGAAGUGAGAGGGCAGUCCCGAAAGCUAAGCUUGGUCCCUCCGGCGUGAAGUAUUACCACGGGAGGGAUGAAAAAUGGGGAGCAUAGCCUGAACUCAAGUGCUCUACCACCGAGUAGAAACCAUCGACGAGAAGCAACCAAGUAGAUGACGGCGAAGAGGGAGAAGGAAGACCCAAAAAAAAGCAUACCUCCGUCGUGACGUUACACAGCGAGAGGAUGAAGGAUGGACGGUCUGCCUGCGAACCCAAAACAUACUACCAUCUGCAAGAAGCUAAUAGCCGGAUGAAAACCAAACAGGCGGGAGAGCCUCCAUCGGAAAGAGAGAACACCUGAUAAGCCUUGAACGUGAAGACCACAUGAAUCGAUGGGUGGAGGAAGCAGACCCGAAGGCCAAGAAAAACACUCCCACCGAAAGGAACCCUUGGCAAGUAGCAAAACAGGCGGAUGAAGGGUGAUGAAGGAGAAGGCAGACCCAAAUAAUAAGCUUACCUCCGGCGAGAAGUUUCACCGCUAGAGGAUGAAGAAUGGAGGGUCUGCCGGCGUUCCCAAAAACACAAUCAUAAGCACGCAACAACCAGCCGGAAGAGAACCAAACAGGUGGGAGAACCACCAUCAAAAAGAGUUUCAAACCUGAACUUACGAAUAACUGCCGGAAAAAAGACUUCCGGCUUAUCCAAUCUUCUGCAAAACAUAUGAUUUCCGGCAAAGAGCAGUUACCUCAAACAGUCGGCGAUGGGGGAGAGGGCAGACCCGCAAUGAAGCAAGGCAUCUCCGCGUAAGGUUUACCGCGUGAGGAUGGAGAAGAAGGGUCUGCCGGAACUCUGAGGCAAUUCCACCGGAAGGAACCCAUCAGGAAGGAGCUGACCGGCAUGAGGGAGGUGAAGAACGAGACAGCAAACCCAACGGAAAAAGCAUACCUCCAGGGAAUAAGUAUUGACGCUGGAGGGUGAAUGAGUGAAGGUCGGCCAGAACUCCAAAAACCGCACUCCCAACAGCAAGAUGCAUCCAGCCGAACGAAGACCAAGUAGGCAAAAGUGCAACCAUCGAAGAGGGAGAGAACUGUUAUGCCAUAAAUCGAUUCCAAAGAUAAAACUCCAUCCCUAAAAGUGAAGGGAGGUAACAACCGCAAGUAAUGGAAGAGGUAUCCUCCAGCGGAAGUUAGAGAGAGAGCGAGAGUUUGGAGUCUAG